rnacentral:rRNA from 1 species
UGAGGAAUAUUGGUCAAUGGGCGAGAGCCUGAACCAGCCAAGUAGCGUGCAGGAUGACGGCCCUAUGGGUUGUAAACUGCUUUUGUAUGGGGAUAAAGUCAAUCACGUGUGAUUGUUUGCAGGUACCAUACGAAUAAGGACCGGCUAAUUCCGUGCCAGCAGCCGCGGUAAUACGGAAGGUUCGGGCGUUAUCCGGAUUUAUUGGGUUUAAAGGGAGCGUAGGCCGGAGAUUAAGUGUGUUGUGAAAUGUAGACGCUCAACGUCUGACUUGCAGCGCAUACUGGUUUCCUUGAGUACGCACAACGUUGGCGGAAUUCGUCGUGUAGCGGUGAAAUGCUUAGAUAUGACGAAGAACUCCGAUUGCGAAGGCAGCUGACGGGAGCGCCACUGACGCUUAAGCUCGAAGGUGCGGGUAUCGAACAGGAUUAGAUACCCUGGUAGUCCGCACAGUAAACGAUGGAUGCCCGCUGUUGGUACCUAGUAUCAGCGGCUAAGCGAAAGCAUUAAGCAUCCCACCUGGGGAGUACGCCGGCAACGGUG